rnacentral:rRNA from 1 species
GUAAGGAAUAUUGGUCAAUGGGCGGGAGCCUGAACCAGCCAAGUCGCGUGAAGGAAGAAGGAUCUAUGGUUCGUAAACUUCUUUUGCAGGGGAAUAAAGUGCAGGACGUGUCCUGUUUUGUAUGUACCCUGAGAAUAAGGAUCGGCUAACUCCGUGCCAGCAGCCGCGGUAAUACGGAGGAUCCGAGCGUUAUCCGGAUUUAUUGGGUUUAAAGGGUGCGUAGGUGGUUUGAUAAGUCAGCGGUGAAAGUUUGCAGCUUAACUGUAAAAAUGCCGUUGAAACUGUCGGACUUGAGUGUAAAUGAGGUAGGCGGAAUGCGUGGUGUAGCGGUGAAAUGCAUAGAUAUCACGCAGAACUCCGAUUGCGAAGGCAGCUUACUAAGCUACAACUGACACUGAAGCACGAAAGCGUGGGGAUCAAACAGGAUUAGAUACCCUUGUAGUCC